AAAAAAACGAUAUUUAGCUUUCAUGUGGUUUAAUUUUAUUUUCUAGUCUAGAAAGGGACUCUUGGAGACAAAGUAGUCUAUCAAAUUGUGUACCAAACGUAUUCUUUUCUAGUUUUCAUCAAUGAAAAUGAGUACUUAAAUUCAAUAACUUGAUCUCCCAAAUUAAACAUUUUGAAAUUCGCCCGCGCUUGUUAAUGGGCCAGAUCAGUCGUCUCGAUAAAAACUCGUUUGCUUCAAACAAACAAACAACAUCAACAAAAAAAAAAACGAUGAUAAUGGGCUAACAAUAAUGGGACGGAGGGAGUAUAACAUAAGGUUAGUUAUCGCCUUCGGAUCCUCCUUCGUCUCCUUCAGUGCAUCAGCCAACCCUUGUUGAAUCAACAUUACAUAGCAUCAGGAGCGGAUCUAUGCAAGCCCAAUAUUUUCUCCUAUAUAUAUUCCUAACAUCUCUAUAAUCCAGCCCAUAGCCCAGCCCAAACCAAAAAAAAUAAACUUCCCAACAUAUAGAAUUAAG
rnacentral:lncRNA from 1 species